UCUAUCUAUCUAUCUAUCUAUUUUUACGCCAAAUAUUUAUGCCUGCAGUCUGCAGCGUUCUUUGAAUCUAAAAGAAUCAGCUCUUCCUAACAAAAUAUGCUGAGAACAGUCUGGAGGUUGUACCUUCACCUCUCCUUCUAGAUACAUCUCGUGCCUACAGACUCCAUGCCUUUUUGGUUUGCCUUAGCAUCUUUCUCAUAUAUUCUUUUCUGGUUUUAGUAUGGAUAGAUGAUUUCUGUGAGGACUGCAAUAUUUGACAAGACCCAUUCUUUCUUCAAUCUCUAUUUUCUCAAUCUUUUUCUUCUUGGAGACAUUGUCUUUGCUUACUUGUGGGCUUUCUGCAAAUCUUCCAAUUGUUUCCUUUCCUCCACAUAUACCCACCAGGCUUAUUUCUCUGCAAGUUAUUUCUCUGGACUUACAGUCCAGCUACUGUAUCUUAAUUAACUGUUCAUCAUUACUGCAGCAAAUGUAUACAUGCAUGUUCAGUGCCACAGCCAAGGCAAGAGCAUGCACAGCUGUAUAAACAUUGGUGAAUGUGGGCUAAGAUAAUUCACGUUACUUCACAUUCUGUAUGGUUGAAGAGUGUCCGUGGUGAUCAAGGAAGACUGAACCCUAUAUACAACUCAUCCUGUGUUUUGGCAUCCUAAGACCUCCCUGUUCUCAUUCCCUUCACCUCCAAUUCAUUCUGAUUGUGAUUAGUAAUUUUUUUUUUUCUUUUGUACUGGUGUAGUCCCACUGCCAACAGUGCUAUGCCAUAAAUUGCAUGAUCUCACUCCAAGCUCCUUUGCUUCCACUCUUAUGAGAAUGAAAAACACUUCAAUGGUAUGGAGAGAUAUUUACAGCUCAUGCUCUCUUUUUACUUUGUUUUCCCAUGGAAGUAUCCCUAAAGUUUUGCUAACAGUUAUUUGCAUGCAUGGAUAUGGAGACCUCCUCUUAGUUUGGUUUGCUCAGUGCCUUUAAUUGAUGUUACAAAUAGAUUCCCAUUGUUUAGUGAAGAACACAGGGUGUUGGGUUAUUUUUGUUGGGUUUUUUUUUUCCCAUAAAGUCUCUUUCUUACACGAUGCCCAUGCUAUAAGUGUCAGUAGCAUUUGCAUUUUUCACUCUCCAUAUCCCUUUUUUGUAAACAGCCUGAUGAAACCACUGAAGUUGGCACAUGUUUUAACUGAAUAGCCGCAGUGUUGUGCUGCCAUGCAAUGCUUUCCCCAUCCUCUUUCCCCACCCCAGAUGUCAUAUUCCCUUACAUGGACAUGUCCAAAAUGUGGUGAACCACUCCUGGCAGAAAGUUGGGCUACAGAUGGGAAGCAAAUGAGGACAACCUUCUCCAAGGGCAAAGCUGCUGUAGUCAAGGGGCUUUGUCUUUGUGACUCCCCAAAAGCUUUCAGGACAAUUUCAGCCUACAAAGACAUAUUUCGUCUUGGUCAUUUUUUGGGCACUUGAUUACAUAUAGUAAGAUUUUUGUUUUUAUGUGUGAUACAACUUUUUGUUGUUGUUGUUGUUGUUGUUGUUGUUCUAGGAACUCCUCAUUGUCGUCCGUUCCAGAGGGGAAAUCCAAAAAAUUUAGAUUUACUGGCAAUGUUAGAAGACAUUUGGGUAAAACUGGAGUUUAUCUGAAGUGGUUAUCUGAACUAGAUGAGAAGAAAGCAUACAGAUAUGAUAAUAAAAUACCAAAUUUCAUGUAAGGAUUCUGAGGGAUCUGGAUGUGAGUCUCAAACUUUUGAGAUGUGAGACUAUGUGGUUACAAAGUAAAAAAGGAUGGUGCACCUGGGAUCGAUAAAUCUUUUCAAUUUGUUAUUGCAUUUCCCUGAAAUGAGAGGGUUUGUUCUCUGCAGGGUGACAUGGAAGCUGCCAUCUCAUUGUAGAGCACCAUGGGCAGUGAAAGGAGAGACAAACUGCUCUUUUUGAUGAGUUGCUGGCUGUUCUCUCUGCCACUCACUUGGCACGGUAGAAAAAAACCCAGCCUGAUAGAAGGGCAGCAUUUUGUCUAUUAUUUUGUUAAGACAAAUUACCUGCAAACUGUAACUCAGCAGUCUGCUGAAAAUGCAGGUGAAAAACAGGAGGUGAUUUACUUCAGUGAAGCUGAAGGAGAACUCUGACUUCCUGCAGCAGGAAACCACCUCCUACUGAAGGAAGCUUGGAGGGCAACAUCUAACCCAGAUCAGGACUUCUGGUGGUCAGAAAGUGUUUUUAAGGGGGAAGGAAGGUGAGGGAGGGAGCAAAGCAGGGCUGAGUCUGGCACACAUGGCUGCUUUUUGUGUGGUACCAGCUCUGGGUUUCUCUAGGUGUGAGCAGGGCUGGGUGGGACAUGGGCUACCCGUGCAAGGGGUUACUUGCUCAACUUAUAAAACUGCUUCAGAUGACACCCUGGGCAGCAUGGCACACUGGUGCCACCCCUCCUGCUUCACAGCAUGGCUGCAGGGUUGCUGUGUGCUCCUGAAUGCUCACUUCCCGUGUAAGGCUUUCUAUCACAACCAAAAACUACCAGAAGGGAGAAAAGCUCUUUUCUUUUUGGUUAAAAAAAAAAAAAAAAAAAAAAAAAAAAAGAUCUAGGUAUGCAGCAUCUUACUGAUUCUUUCACAAAAAUCCAAUGGAAAACAGCUUCUCUAGCCAAGAGUUUGCCACCUGAGGUGAAAUCCAACUGAAAACUCUUUUAUGGAGAGCAGAGAUCACCUCACCUGUCUUUAACUACUGCUCUUAUUUAUGAUCAGACUGCUCCAUAAAUAAAUAAAUAAAUAAAUAAAUAAAAAGAAGAGCUGCCUGCUGACUGCUGCCUGUGGUGUGGUUUGGCCACAGCUGGGCCAUGAGCUGUGCACUGUGCAUCUCCCCACCUGCACCAUGCAGCUUGCUGUGGUGGGCUGCUGUGCUCUGUGGGGACGGAUGCUCUUUGCAUCACUGGUGGCAGCUGCCAGUUGCUGGGGGGCUGCUGGUUGCUUUCAAAUCCCAUGGAGAGGCCGGUGGUGGUGGUGGAAGGAAGGAGAAGGAGGGGAGGGAGGGUUCAUUCUCAAAAAGGCUGUUACUGUUUAACUCUAUGCAAACUCAGCUGCCACAAGCCCUCAUGCAAGAAGUCUGUUCUUCCUGAAAAUGUGGCAGUCCUUUCACAGCCCCUUCCAAAAUUUACUUGGAUGGAGCUGGACUUGGCCCUUACUCAGGAGGAGUGGUUGAGCAUUUUUUAAACCUGUUGUUCCUUAACUGAAAGGCUUUUUUCCUAACAGAAAAUAAGGGCCUUACACUGCCAACCUUUCUGCCUGCAAACUGGGAUUAUAAAUAGCUUCAGCAUUUUGCUCAUGUCUGCCAACACUGACAGUUAAAAAUUAGCUCCUGAUCUGGAGCUAUUCAGAUAUGUAAUGUUUAUAUAUCUGUUUUCCUAUCAGUGUCCAGCCCCAUGGCUUUCUCACAAACUCUGCUUUCUUUACCACGCAGGGUAGAAAUACACGCUGACCACGCAGACUGCUGGUAAAAUAUCAACUAGAGCAGCAGCAACCAGGUAUCUUGAGAUGAUGCAAUCCAUAGAAAUCACUCUGAGAUGUUAACCUGGGGCUGGGAGAGGAGUGGAAUAGCAGAUAUACUUUUGUGGUACUUAAUAUACAGAUGACAUUUAAGGCUUUCAACUGUUUUCUUUAAACCUGAUCUGAUUUUCUAAUUUCUAAACCUUAAAUUCCAGCCAAGGACAUCUCUGAGCUAAGAAAAAAACCAAAGAUUUUUACCCAGCAAAAUCUAGGACAGGUGACAAUCACAAAUUUAUUUUCAUACAACUACAAUGCCAACAGAGCCCCCUUCUCUCCCCUCUUCCAUUCCCUCCUCCCAAGUGUGCAUUUACAGAAAUCAAGGCCAGGUUGUUACAGGGGGUUUGAUUCUGUUCUCAUGGGCAGUGACGACAUGUUAGGAGGAACACUACAAGGUCCUGCGAGUCUGCACCAUGCUGAAAAUUGAAAGCUGUGGACUACAACAUGUGCUGCUGUUACAAAAGCAACAAUGAGGAGUGUGGCAGUCCUGCACAUCUCUGCAGCUGGCCACCCCUCAUCAGGCAAUGAUGCAGAAGCCAGAAAACAUUCACAUGUUCUCUACUUACACAAGUAAGAAUGGCAGUGGUGUUUUGUUCUUUGACUUUCCCUCAGCACUAAUUUGCUUUAACCCUUCGACUUUACUCAUCUCCUUGACAGCCAGUUCAUUUUUUGACAAAUAAAACUUCAGUUUUAUCUGGAUCAAGUCAAUUUUCUGUACCAUUUGCUGGGCUUAAAAUGCUACAGGUCUCUGCUUGAAUCACAAGGAGACAAAAGACAUCUCAUAUUUCAUGCCUGUUUAUGGUAGGACUAAUAUCAAGUUCUUUAGACAGCAAAACACAUUAGCUCAAAACUCAGAGGACUAGAAAAAAUUACUUUGCCUGAUUAGCUUUAAGCUGACAUGUCUGAAAACAUCAAACAAGAAUCAGCCUGCUUUUGAAAUUUGUUUCCAGUUAUAGAAAAUGACCUUCUUAAUUCCCAGCAGCAUCACAUCCUAACUUAAAAGAGCUACCCUUUCCUCUCACAUCCACAAAGGUGCUCCCACAGACUGAUGUGUUUGAUAACACUGAUGGAGAUCCCUGCUGAAAUCCUCCCAUCCAUGUUAAGCGGGAUGGGGAAUCAGAAUAAUCUUAACAACCUUUUUUUGUGUGUAUGUGUGGCAGGCCCUCCCAAUAGAGGCGAGUUAUCUGUGGGGUGAAGAGGACUCCUUCUGUGCAUGAUAUUUUGGCAUUGGAGCGCUCCACAUCCCAAAAUAGAAGAUCUUUCAAACAGUUUUUCAGAUAUUUCAGACAUUUCAAAAUAUUCUGGCAGAGGCUGUAUUUGUUUCCAGAGGAUCACAGAGUCGCUGAAUGGUUAACGCUGGGAGGGAUCUCUGGAUGUCUUAUGAUCCAAUGCCCCUGUUUGAGCAGGGGCUCAUCUCUCUGUUACAUGAACCAAAUGAUGUACUGUUAUCAUAGCAGAGAAGUAGUGAGUGGCCUCAUCCCAGACUCAAGUAGAGGCAGAGCACAGGUCUACUGGCCCAGGCAGGUUUGUCAACCGAACUGGUAGACAGCAACUUCCAUCAUGGUUUUCUCUUUUUUUGCCAUGUUAUCUUCCUGGAGGACAAUGCACUCACUCCUCUAGAAAGAGAGCUAGAAAGCCAUCUCUGCCAGACCAUGUCUUGGGUUUCAGACAUUGGAAGCCCAAAGGCAAAGAUUUUUCCAUUGCAAGGAGUGGACAUUUCUCCACUUGCUUCCACCAGGGACCAGCUGUUAAGCAUGUGUGUGUACCAUGAUACACCUGCUCUUACUGCUUUAUAUAUUUCAAGAACAAUACACUGAAUAAAAGUUAUUAUUAAUAGGUUCUAUUAUUUUUGCUGAGUGUUCAAUGCUUGAGAUUUGUGCCUUAUUUUUGCUGAGUCUUGAGUUCUUUCUUGGUUAAACUUUAUUUGGUUGACCGGGGAAUAGGAACAGAUAACCUUCUGCUUGUCGUCCUUCCCCUCUGUUGGGGACAACCUUCUCACACCAAAAGGGAAGAUGGGAAAAGAGAACUGGAAGAUUCCCAUGCUAUUACAUUGGUAGUGGAUGACUGUGCUUAGAGGUACUUUGAGGUUUCAGGGAUAUCCCUGCCAUACACAUAAUGAGCAGGGGAAAUGGAAUCUCACUGAUAUUAAAACAGAAUUUAGUACAUAACAAUUUUUUGUUUGUUUGUUUGUUUGUUUGCAUAUUAUCAUUUAAUACCUAAUUCUGCUGCUUGAUAACUCUCUGGAAGUGGAGUUCUCACCUCUUUGUGAGGUUAUAUCUUUUGAUAUAACCAGGCACUGACAAGCACAGCAUGUCAGAGCUGAGAUUUCGACAUACUCAGUGUUGCCUUGUAGAUAUGCACCUAAAUUUCCUUCUCUGUUUUGCUCAUGCAAAGAACUAGAGUAUUGAAUGGGUAGGAGUCCCUAUCUUGGUCUUGCAUGGGCUCUCUGUAGAAGAAGUAGGAGGCAGAGGAAGGUAAGAAGUUAUUCAAGACUAAGCAAAUAUGAAAAAUAAAUCAGUGGAUAUUUCCUUUCAGGGCUGUGAAGCCCAACAGCAUUACUUUAAACUGGAUAACCUUCUCUCCAGCCUUCGCAGCAAUUUCAAACAGGUCACCUUAGCUCAUACUUCAAUAGACCAAAUUCAUAUAAGGAGGCAAAGCAGCAAGGCUCUUCCAACAACAUGAAGUUUACACAGUGUAAAACAAGCAGCCAGUGUUUUUUUUUUUUUUUUUUUUUUUUUUUUUUUUUUUACAGUGACUGUUCUGUGCAUUUGUUUUUUUUUAAUCCCUGUUGGCAAAAAUAUAAAUGGACAGGAUUUUAGAACCAAGACAUUAAUACGCUUCCCUCAAAUUCUCUACAACCAAUAUUCCGAUAUUUACUCAUUCAGGAUAACCAGGUCAAUUGUUUUUGGCACAUAUCCACAAGCAUCAGUUCCUCUGUCUGGUAAAUGCUGUUUUUGUAGCAGUCGGCAGGGCUGCUGUCUAGCCCACUUCCAAAACAUCCUGGUAGAAAACAAAGAGCAGAUUUAGCAAAACAGUAAAGUUUACUUGGAGCUACAGCCACCAUCUGAGGCAGGUGAUUGCAUGCACAUAAAUGAGUACAGUGCACUGGUAAAAAUAUCUACAAAGGCAAUAAAUAAUACUGGUUUACAAUAGGUGGAAUUCCUUCCAAUGUUACAGUUUAAAUUAAGACUCAUGAUAUAUGGUCUGACCGCAACCUUCAGCACAGAAUUAAAUUUCUUCUGAUGACCUGCUUCAGUUUUGGCCUUAUCCUUGAAAUUUAUCUGUCAAAUCCUAGCUACAGCAUCCAAUAUUUAAUUUGAAGGCAUAUAGCUGCUUUACAUGUUGUUUGUGGUGACAUUUCUGUCCAGCUAUCAGAAAUGCAAUGCCUAGAACAGUCAAUUCACAAUGAAAUAAUAAUGCUAAAUUUGUAAUUAAUUUGCAAUGAUUAUACAGAUAUCAAUAUAAAAAUAGACCGAGAACUCACUAAGCUUAGAAGGAAGUGUGCUUUAAUUUUUAGCCCUGAAAAGUGUGCAGACAUCUUUUGAUAGCAGCCUGUUGUACUUGAGAUGCUCGAGUAAAUGAUUACCAGUAUUUUUCUAAGCCACUUUGUAAUUAUUUUUUUCAUUGAAAGUGUUUAUCAGAUUUUAUUUUAUAGAAUAUGUCAAAGGAUGAAAUAAAUCCAUGUUCCUAGGACUAUAAAAAUGGCUGAUUUUGCAUUUAAAUUUUACGUAUGGUAUCAAAACCAGUUUGGUAUCAAACUCUGUUUGAGUUCUAUAUUUGCAUUAGUAAUCUAAUGAUCUAAAUAGUGCUUACAUGAUGCUGCACUGGAUCUGGUCAUUACAACUCAGGCAAGAGAUCUUGGAACAUUGCUGCGCCAAAAUCAACUCAGUGUGCAGCAAGGCCAAAUAAGCCAUCAAAAUGUUGGACAUCAUCAGGAAGGAUACUGGCAGCAGAACAGGAGUUACGAUUUUCUGCUUUUAAAACCUGAUGUGCACCAUCUUAACUACCAUGUGCAGUCCUGGUCUUUAUGUCUCAAGAAAGAUUCAGUGGAGGUGAAGAAGGCACAGAGAAGGGCAACUAAAAAGAUCAAGGAGAUGGAGCAGCUGCAUAAAUAGAGGAGACGGAAAAUAUUGGGACUGUUCAGUUUGAAAAAGAGAAAGUUGAAGUUUAUACUGAAAUGAAGGUGAUAGACGCAUUGAAUGUGGAACUGUCUGCACUACCUCAUGAAAAUUGUAAAUCAGUUUAAAAUUAGCAAAAGAAAGCACUUAUUUCUACAUUAGGUGGUAAACUUCUGCAGCUUGCUGCAGGUGGUAUCAACAGAUUGAGAAAGAGAAAAGACACCUAAGACACAUUCAUGGGUACUAGAGGCAAGAGGUAAGGAGGUAAGGAGGUGCCAUCUGACAUCCCUAAGAGGGGGAAAAGACAACAGUGUCCUCACUCCUGUGCACCUCUCAAACAGUAACCAUGUUUUCAAUGCUGAAGGGAGAAUACUGUGUGACACGGAGCAGUGGUCUUAGAGGGACGCUCGUUUGCUUUUAUGUUUUAAGGUUGCUGUCUGCGCUGAAGAGAAGUGGUGCUAGUUGCAUAACUUUAAAGCAGAAACUGAUCAAGCUGAUGGUGCAGCAGGAUGGAUUACUGAAAUAGUAGCUGGAAAUUUUCCCUCUAGGAAGGGAGAACAUUCAUGGAAAUGCAGAGCUUUUUACAAACAACAGACUUUCUCCCAUUUUCUCACCGUUGUUUUGAAAUGUUAAGUAGUGACACAUAAACCAUCCAACUGUAAAGAGUGAAAUGUCACAAUACCAUAUCUCCAUAAAAUACAGAUAAAUGUGUAUCCUUUGUGAGUAGAGAAGUUCUUAUGGAGUACUUUCUUUCCUGUUCUUUUUCAUGUACUUGCCUUGGUGUUGGUAAGUGAAGAACACUAUGCCUGCAAGCUCGUAUAUUCCAUUUGCCACCAAGUCUACCUGCAAACCUGGUCUAGUGGAUGGUGUCCCUGCCUAUAUCAGGGGAAUUGGAACUGGAUGAUCUUAAAGGUCCCUUCCAACCCAAACCAUUCUAUGUUUCUAUGAUCUCUUGUAAACACCAUCUAGCUCAUCUCCCUGAAUAUCAGAGCAGUUCUGUGAAAAGCGCUGCCUAUCCUUGGUUAUAAGAGAAGAAAAGCAACCAGAAGAGUGAAGUAGCCCAAUUCAUGAAAACCCAUUGAUGUCUGUUGCUCAAAUGUUUUAUGAUAGCAUUUCCAGACCUUUGUUUUUUGCACUUCAUACUUGUAAGGAUUGGGGCUUGUUUGCUCAUGAUCUUUUUCCAUGCAGAAGGUACACAUGGCCUUUUCCUUUCUUUCCCUCAUGCACACUGUAACACUUGUUAAAUAGAGGUCAAUCAUCCUAGAAUUUUCUCUCAGCUGCCCUAUAAAUAAUAAAUAAUAAACAAAGCUGCGUGAAGCUAGGCAUGAAGGAUACUGGUGGUUUGCCAUUAAUCUUUCAAGCAGUAGCCAGCUAUAUCCUGUCAGUUGUUGUGUGGUUUGCUAGAUAUAUUUUAUGGUUGUCUGAUUGGAUACCUUUUGUGUUCUCAUUGCAUGGGGACCAUUAAAGCUCAUUUCAGGUGAGACGCUUGUGCGUUUGGUGACAAAGACCAGCUGAAGGAUAUACAGUCAGCUACCAGUGCAGCUGACCUGGAUUCUUAACAUUUGUUAUGCUUUUUCAGACUUUUGCCAAAGACCUUAGAUUUUGCAGUUUCCUAUUUCCAGCCUGGUGCCAAGUGCUAUUCAACUGCCUCUCUCAGCAGAAACCCAGAGUUAUGAAUCCGUAUGCCAUUGCUUCCAACUGCAAAUAUCCUAACAUAGUGGUUUCCAGUCUAUGGCGCACUAAUGCAGAAAUCAUACUCUGUGGCCUAUGUCUGUGUGGUAAAGAAAUAUUUGAGAAAUUAAAUUCAAAAGAGAACAGCUCACUGUUCUGAGCCAAAGAUGUUUCAAAAAAAUAAAGACUGGGCCUUCAUAUAUGAAAUUUAUCACACUGUUCAAAUCUUCAGUAGAAAAUACCAGGUGAACUGAAAAUUGAAAAAACCUUACAAACCACAACAGUGUUCUUCCUGCUUGAUGUUUUGGGGUUGUUUUUUUUUGGUGGUUUGGGGUGGCUUUUUUUUUUUUUUUAAUUUGUUUUGGUUGCUGACAAUAUGACAGUAUUCUGCUUUUGGUCUAAUAUGUUAGGUGUUGAAAAAUAAAUAGAACUGUUUAUUCUAUAAGCAGUGGGGGUAGAGUCCUGCUGGAGACCCUCAGCAGACCCCAGUGCCCCACUGACCUUCCUGAUUCCACUGUUCCUGAGACAACUUUGCUGCCGCUGAGCUGAACAGGAAAAUAGCAACAGGACUGUAAGGUAUGUCUGUGACAGAGCAGCUGUCAAAGUGCAGCACUACGUGUUGCGGAUUUCUUUGUAGAUCUGCCAAGAGCUGGCAUGCUGAAUAGAUAAAUCUAUGAUUCUUAGAGCAGUGCGUCACAGUGACCUUGGACAAAAGAUCUCUGGGUCAAAGUGUGGCAGCUGCUGCAGCCCUUUGCUUUCCAGGCUCCAGAUCUGUUUUAUUGUAUUUCAUGGGGAUAUUUGUGUAACCCAGAAGCAGUCAUGAAAGAGGCAGGGUUUCUGCUGGUGCAUGAACUGAACUCUUGUUUACCAUUUGGACAAAUCCUACCUUUGGAUAAGCCUUUGGACAUGGUAUCUUAAACUACAGUAGAUCCAGUGAAGGCAGAAAGUGGCCAUCUGGACUCUGCAGGUGAGAUUUAUCCAUGAGCCAAAGCUAACAUAAAUCUCAGACUUAUGCCUUUCUUUGGAAUUUCAGCAAUGCUUCGCAGAGCCAGUUCCAGGCUUCUUGGCAAUGCCGGCCAAAGAAAUAAAUAAUUUAAAAAAUGCCUCCUGCCAGAGAGCAGAGCUAGAGACAAAAUGGACCUGGAACUGAGAAAUGUGGGGAGCUGCUCCCAUUUCUGUCAGAAGGGCAGAGGGUGGCCGUGCCUAUUGCUGCCAGACAUCCUCUCCUGCAUGCUCUCUGGCCUUGCAAAGGGAGCAGAAACAGGAAGCUGGCUCCAGCAAAGCUGCAACUGCCAAGGAUGUUGUGUCACUGCCUGCAGUUAUUGCCAGGCUUUGCUCACAGUCAGCAAGCUGAGCUGCGCCAACUUGGAGACAGUGGCUCUCACAAGGGUGAAUUUCACCCUGCCCAUACACAGGUGCUCUUCCUACAAGGCACACGAAAGGAUUUUGUAGCACUGAGGUUUAGUUUGUGUUUUAAGCUUGGGUUUUGCUGUUGAUGGGAAGCGGCUUUUCCUCUUCAGUUUUGUCAUUCUGUGGAACAACUCAUGGCCACCAUCUGUGUGGGCACAGAUACUAGACCAUGACUUGCAAGAUCUGAGCUCAUUUCCUGCAUCAAGCCAUAGAUUUUUUGCAUGACCUAAGGAAGUUACUUCAACUCAUCCAGGUAUCACUUCUCCACUUACAUGAAGCUUUCAGCUUCAGUGGAAUUUGUUAUAAUAACCCCACUGAGAUGUGAAGGUCUAACAGCAGAAGCCAUAAUGAAGACACUGUGGUUACCUAGCAGGCUCAGUGCAACCACUGUUGGUUUCACUGGAAGCUGCUAUGAGUUUAAAAAUUGCGUCCCUCUGACUUUUCCCACAUAAAUCCUAGAAGUUUGAGCCAGUGACUACAAUGUGGGCCACUGACAAUUUAUUAAUAAUGUUUCUGUCCCUCCCUGCUAGGAUCAGUGAUUCAAAUGCUGUAAAAUUUCCCAAGGGAGUCGAGCUGUCAGCAAUGAGUGGCAAUUCAUAGAACUAAUACUAAAAUAAAGCUGGUAGGGGUUUAUUAUUGUCAGUGUUAAAGCAGACAAGUGGUAGAAGGUGGGUGCCCGAGGCCAUGUGACACAGAGCAACUGGAAGAAGCAUCUUGGGCAGUGGACCAGACUGGUGGUGCUGUGACCCUCAGAGCUCAUUAGGUAAGAUGUUUGCAGUUUCCCAAGAUAUCUUGUCUCACUAUCACUGUGUUUUCUUUUCCUCUCUGCUGGCUGGAUUGGAUCCUCCCUGCCUCUCCCCUGUUCAAGCUGCAAAAGUCAUAUUCCUUUCACAUGCAGUAUGUUCCUUGGAGGUGACCUGUCCCUCCCUCUGUGCUGCUGGUGACAGGAAAGCCUCUGUCCCUCAGCAGAGCCAUCCCAAACACAUCUUCCUGUUAGCUCCUGCAGCACAGUGCAUGCUUGUGGGCAGGAAGAUCAGGUGUAUGUGUCCGGGGAAGAGAUGAGGAGCUAUGGACAGGGACCUCGGGUGGAAGCUAUCUCCUUGGCUCAGAUCACUUCUCCAGCUUUGCACCCUUGGUGCUCACUGUACUGAUAUAGGGCAAGAUUCUGCUCAGCUAUACCACUGGCCUUGCUGAAAGGAUGAUAAUGGCUGUCUUAUCCAAGUCCUUGUGCCUACACGUAAAAUGUAGCAGUUUUGGACUACCUUGAUUUUCAUGAGCUGUGUCUACAAACAAACAAACAAAACAAACAAACAAUCAAAAAAAGGCCAAAGGAAACUUAUAUGGGGGCAAAUAUGUUGUCCUCAUGAUACAAAGAAACAUCUCGUUUGCUGACUCAGCUAUUUGUGGUGCAAGGAAAGGGAAAGGAUUCAUAGCUAACAAACGAUUUCUAACAAAAAUCUAAAUUUUGAGGAACUCUUUGCCAGUGCCUUUCAUAUCGGCCCACAAAUUAAGCUGUAGACGUAUCUUUUUUUUAUGAAUAUGAAAAUUUCCUUAUAGAAAGAUUCCCCCUCACUCUGUGAUCGGGUGGGACAGAAUCAGAGCUCUUCGGAAACCUGUUGCAUGCGCAGCCCCCUUGGUGGGACUAUUUAAGUAGUCAGCAUCAUAAAGCAUCCCUAGAAAGGGGAUUGUUGCUGCUAUUUUAAAAAAUGUGUUAUUAUUUUGGAUAUCACAGUUCUGAUUACUUCCAGUGUGAGCGAUGUUCCAGAGGCCAGACUUUGUGCAUGCCCUUGCACUCACUCUCCAAACACAAUUGUGUUGUUGUCAGAUAUGCAAUAGAGGAGGCACUCAUAUUCAGGAAUUGCAUGUGAAAAAUUUGAAUCAUGUUGGACAUUCAUAGAAAUAACAUAGAAAGAGGAGUUCAUCUUUUAAAACUGGGGGGAAAAAAAAGCCCUUUUUGAGUAGUGUUUUGAAAGCAUCCUCAGAAUGGACAAGGCAACCCUCGCAAAAUGCUGUCUGUAAAACAGCAAGAACAAGUCAGAUAAUAAUCUAUUGCUCUUCUUUAUGAGAGGUAUGCUGGGUAAGUAGAAACAAAAUGAACCACAGAAUUAUGCCUUUAUGGCAUCAGAAAUGUCACCCCUAGGAAAUUAAAAGCCGCGCACAAUUGCCAGCAUUAAUCCCUGCCCUGGAUGCUGCAAAAAGACCCCUGAGUUUCCCUUUGGCAGAACUUCAAUUUCUUGAUGAUUUUUUUGUGUGUGCACAGCAGUGCCCCAGUUGACACAUCUGGGUCUGUGCCCUGUCUGUACCUGCUCAGCGGGAAUGUAAACACGGCACAGACACUGCUGCCUUUAGCUGCAUGAUCUCCUCACAUCGGCCAAGGGGAAAUGAUAGCAGUGUUUCUUCUGUCUCUACACUGUGAGCGCAUGUUUUGUGGCAGAAGAAGGAAAUGGUACUUUUUGCAGGUGAGCUACAGAACAGAGAAUGAAAUCCUCGUGACUCAGAGAAAGGACAUAAAGGAAAGGUUAAAUCUGCAAAAGUGCCAUUCAUUCACUGUUCAGCUAAGGAGGCAGUAAAGAAAGUCUCUCAGACAGAUAACGUGACUGCAGCCACGUUAUGUUGGCUUUUCUUUGUCUUGCCCGGUUAAAGCUAUCAUGCUACACACAAGAACUGAUAUGGAAAGGUCAGCUACAUUGCUUAGGUGAGAACAGAGCAGCACUAGGGCAUUUCAGCAUGUUGCAGAUGCCUACCAGACAAGGGAACUGCUGAGAGUUCACAAAGAACACAUCUCCUCAAAGCUCAGUAAUGUGUCUGGGAAAUCUUGCUAAAUUUACCAGUGUUUCUUGCUUGAACUGUGUCCUGAUGUUCAAAGGAAGGCUCUGAGUAAGGACAUCUAUUGCCCAUUUCUAAUUCUGGCUACUAAUUUUGAAAAAAAAAUCACUUUUCCUCGUGUCUGACUUCUCAGUAAUUUCAGAGUACAUGUGUGAAUAUACAUGUGGUCAUAAAAAAGACUUUUGUAACUCUUGGCAAAGAGCCUUUUUUCCUAUGGAACUUGGGAGAUGCUUGUGGAAGAGCCGGAAACGUAUCUUGUGUUUUACUUCUUUGUCCUUUGAAGACAGGAGUACUGCAGGAAAUACAGCUACCAGUUUCUGCUUCACAGUGCUUUUCUUCACUGUGCCAGUGCUAUGGCAGUAAUUAAAAUGACAGAUAAAUAACAUUCACGUUUGUUCUCCAAGCCCAGCAAUGGGAAAACUCUGCACAGCCCAAGUUAGAGCUGCAUGAACUGCAUUGACCCCUGCCUACACCACUUCAUCUACCUUAUGGGAGGGUUAUGUAGUUGAUUAUUAUUGCUAUUUGGAACAUGGGGUUUGUUUAAUGCAGCAUUUUGAGAGAAAAAAAACAUGUACUUCUCUGGGCAUACUCCUGUUCCUGCAAGGACAAGAGAACUUAGCUUCUUUUCAAUGGGAAUCCUGCUGUUUAUUUAAUAGCAGGUGGGAUUAAACCCUGCAAUAGGUCAAAGUGGGAGGAUCUGGAGUGACAUUCAGGACAUAUGUAAGCAUUUACUGGUGUGGUGUCCAGGUUCUCUAUGCACCACCAUGGUGUUUUGUUUUUGAGAGCGUGGGGAGGAGCAGAUAGCACGUGCAGCCUUGUUUCUUCAGUAUCAACAAGAAGCAACUCAGUUCAUCCUGUCAGAGGGAGAGCAGUUGGCGUAACUUAUCCAGCAGAACAGCUGAUACUGUGAAAUGUAUCUGAGAAUUAGUCAAACAGACCAAGAGUGAGUACAGCCUGCGGUUUAAUGACAGCUGAGCAAAGGUUCUCAUUGUACUAACAACAUCCUGUGUCUCUGUGGCAGUGAUGUGGUAUAUGCACACGUACUCUUUUGCAGUCAAUAACUUCUCAUCAGAUUUUCACACCGGCUGAUUUGGCUGUUAUUUAACAAGUGUGUUUUCCUCUUCCUGCCUUGCGUUUAUUUUUGUUGCUGUUGUUGCAGAAGUAAAAUCAUCUCACAUUUUCUCAGAAAUUCUUCAGAGUGCUGCUAAUGUUUUGCUUGAUGUUUUGCUGAAAGAGGUUUUGCAGGGACUUUUUAAAUGUCACAUCUGUUCUCAAAGUGCAUUUACUUAAUUGGCGUACAGUGCUGGAUGGCAUUCAGUACCUACACACGUACCAGCUAGGUACAAAGCUGCAUGGCUUGUCAGAGCAUACCUGAAAAAGAAACAUGAGCUCAGCUUCCUCUAGAAGUGUGGCAAGCUCUGAUGAUAUGGGAGAUAGCACAGCAGGGUGAUGCUCAUGGCAAGUGAUGGACACAGGUCGUGCUUGGUGGUGCCAAACAGAAGAAGAGGAAAUCUUUUCCAUGAAAAAAAAAAUCCUCUUACAUUUGGUGACCUUUCUGCCUGAAUAAAAACAAAAUCAAUAGUGUUAACAUCUCCUGUAAUGUUUGAUCUUUUCUUAUGUCCUUGAGAUUUCUUACGCAUAGGUAUUACAUUAUGUAAUAUAUUUUAUAUUUAGCAUACAAAUGAUGAAACGCAGCUUUCCCCAAUACCUCUUAUAGUAGAUAUCAACAUGCUUAAUCAGUGAGAUCAUCUAUCAUCCCCAUUUAAAGGGCUGGGAAACAGAGAAAAAUAAAAUGGUGUGCCACACAGGCCAGAAAUGCAGUGGCAAAGCCUGGAAUAAAAUUAGGUCUCAUUAGUUGUAGCCCAGUGGUCUCUUUGCUAGGAAAUGAUGCCUCCUUAUUUUAUAGUACAAAAAUAUAAAAACGUAGAGCAGCAGCACUGAAUAUAUUAGAAAAGGCUUGAAAGAAAGCAGUGGGAAAAUGUAAAAUCACACAAUAAAUUUGGAAACAAAACCUCUUCUGAAAGAAAAGGCAAAACGAUCUGUUCAAGUAAUGACUUUCACAUUCCACUGUGCUUGUUUUUCCGAAAACAAUCCACGAUUCCCAUAGAUUCCUCUAUAUUCUGCAAUCUAGUACUGAUAGAAGUGUGUUUUUUUCAUUGGAAAAAUGUUUUUUUUUUUUGACCGUUUUCACUUGCUGUAGAGGAAGAGAAGGAAAGUACGUAAAGCCAGCAGGACUGCUGGGAGGCCAGUAGGUUUUUCUUUUUCUAUGUUUUUCUUUUAUUUUGUGAGCUUUACAAAUGUGCUGUAAGCUUAGUUUAUGCUUCAAACGCAUUUUGUCUGGCAAAUCAUAACUGAUGCAAUAUGAUUUGAAAGUCUCCGCCAUCAUGCAGAAAUUACAAUUCUCUCCCCAGGGACCUUCCCCAAAACAUAAAGCAGAGCCUUCCUCCUCAUUAAAACAUUUUAUUGUGUGAAAAAUGACAAUGAGCCGUAAAAUCUGGAGGGAAAUGAUUGCUGCACACUAACAUAUGCUCAACGAUUUCAAUACCAGAGCGUGUGGAGGCUGUCAGUUGCACUUCAAGAUGAGGAAAUGAGCUUCUUGAUCUUGUCCGGAUGGAGGGCAAUUUAGAGGGACAUUGCAAGCAGAGCAGUUGGGCCCUGAAUGCCUUUUUUCAACACAGCAGCAGGAUAUCCAGCAAUCAGCAGUACGACGGCACUAGUUUGUUUUGUUUGCAAAAGCAUGUCUUACUGUCCCUUCGCUAUUCCUGCUUCACUUUUCUUAAAGCCGAUGAGAAUAAUUGUGGCUGUUAUUAUUAUGUACAAAAACGGCACAGAAAGAAGAUAAAGGUUGCCUACUCAGGCACUCAGAAGUUAGAAAAUAAUGGGAUUACUGUUGCCUUGACAACAUUUCCCUCUCCUUCCCCUGCCCCCAGUUUCAUUCCAGGAAACGGCUGAGGCACUUUGCUGAAACUCUGCAAAAUAAUUAAAUAAAAGAUUCAGCCAAAGAGAGACACCUGGCUUGGAAAACUUCCCCCUCCACACAUCUGACAAAACGAUAAACAGAUGAAAAGCAGGAUUUUUUGAACAGAAGAAGAAAGUAAUGCUGAUUGUACUAGUAGCUCCAUCUACAUUUUGUUGUUGUUGUUGUUCUUUUGCUUUAAUUUACACUACAUCCCUGCAGGCUGUUUCUGGAGCAUAUCCCUUUGUUCUGCAAGGCACAGGAUCGUGUACACAGCAGCAGGAGGGGGCUCAGUUUCCUGCUGCUGCUCAUGGGAGGAGGACUUCCCACCCCAGGAAAGAGAAGACCAGGGGAAACUUGAGAAGGCUGCGAUGACACUGGAGGCACAGCUUCAGGGCUUUUAGCACUAUGCGUCACAUUCGUGUGACCCAUGACCAACAUGUAAUGUUGUGCCUGACGCACGUGAAGAGCUCUGCCUCUCUGGAGAGCGUCACAGAGGCUGCAGGGGUCCGGAGCUGGCAGCCCCCUGGGGCAGACGACAGCACCCUGUGACACCUGGUGCGUCAUCUGCAGCUGAGCUCCCAGUAAGGUCAGGCAGGAGACUGAUAAAUGACCCCACCUUGUCAACACCACCGUCAUUAGUGCUGUUAUCACCCUGCGAAUGGGAACGUGAAGGAAUUCAUAUCCCUGCCCUUGCCAAAGCUGGAGAGCAAGUGGGAACAGGAGCUGUGGAGGUGACUGUUCACACCACUUACAUUCUCCUGCAAAGCAGCACAAUGUUUGGUUUGUUAACCAAAGGGAUUUUGUAGCUGAUCAUUAAAUAUUAUUUCAGAUUAAUGGAAUUUAUAGGCUGUCUGAUGACGAUGAGAUUUCUUUCAAAGGAGGGACAAAAGACUUCAGCAUGCACUGGCAUGGCUAGAACACUAACAAAUCACUAGCGUGGUGGAAAGCCCAGAAAUGCUCUCAUGCCCCUUUUCUCAUGCAGCCUGUCUGAACUAACAGCACAUCCAAAAGCGGCAGGUAAUGUAGCCUGCACAGGGGCUGGAAAUGGACCCACCUGACCACGUUGAUUUUGACAAGUAACUUGACAGCACUGUGAGUGGCAGGAGCAGUGUGAUUUAUUCAAAAGUUGACUACUCUGGAAAAAAAAAAAAGAAACACAACUAAAUUUGCAUAUAAUGAGAUGCAUUUUAAAAUCAAAACAAUUAACAGCUAUGUUAUUUUUUCUUCCUUUGCUUUUGCUUGGAGCACGGUUAACCCUGAUGCUUAAAAUUCCCUUUGAAUGCCUUUUGGUGGGAAUCUGAUGGGAUGCAGGGAGCCUGGCAGCCCCUCCAAAUACCUCCAUGUACAACCAGCAGUGUUGGUGGAGUCUCGUCAGCACAUGGGAGACAUAAGGAGCUGGCCAAUCUGGCCCAUCAAGUCCUGGUUUGCAAACUCUGCUCAACUAAGUGAUACCAACAAUUGGAUCCACAGGUCUUGACUGGUCUGUUUGUGAAAAUUAUCUAAAGUGACAAGCAAGGUCUCUCACGACUGACUCAUAUAAGGUGACUGGCUCAUUCUUGUAUGGGGUGUGCUGGGUGUUACAGCUAUUGCUGACCUCAGACUGAGCACUGUGGCCUUUUGGUUCAAAAACAUAUGCUUCAAUGAGAUGCUCUGUGAGUUUGGUAACCUCGGUAUUCUAUGAGAAGUGUUUGAUUUCACAGAGGAAAGCCUAAGGACACUUGAAAUGUCUUGUUUCUGCAACUCUGAACCAGUUUCUUGUCAUCAGGUAACACCUGGUGCUUUUGUCAGUGCUAAGCAGCACGUUACAUUCUAUACUCUAAAAUGUUUGGAUCAGUUAUGCAUGGAUGCAAGAAAAUAAAACCCCGCUGUAUAUCUUUGCUUACUAUCUGUCCUCUGUCCCUGUCAUUCUAACACGCAUUUCAAAAGAAGACAGUGCUCUGCUUUCCAGUCAAAAUAUUAAAGAAUGCUUCUAAAAUACUUUAGUUAUAAAUAUGAAAAUGUUAUGUAAUGUGAGAUAUGCUACAGACUGCAGCUUGCGUAAUACAAAGGAGCAACCUCAGCAGAGAAGUCCAGAUGUACACUGUCUAAAAAUCUGGCCUAUAAAUUGGUGGUUAAUAAACACGGAAUAAUGUAUCAGGUAUUCAGCUAGGAGCACCAGGCUGCUAACAUCUGCCGUGAAGUGAAACUGGUUGUUCUCAACUCAGUACAUACAUGUGCUUUCCUGUACAUUCACACAGAGAGCUGGAUAGUGGCUCUAUAGGUGGCCAAAACAAAAGCUUUCUCCAACAAAGGGGAAUGAUCUGUGAUGGAAUUAUCUCUGGUAUUGGUACUGCAGGUUCCCUCCAGCACUGUGAUAGUUUUGAAAGCAUAAUGCAGACUGGUCUUGAGUAAGGACUAUUUUUUGCAACAGAACAACACAUGAAAAUCUAAAUCAUGCUGUAAAUUUGGGAACAAAAUGCACUUAAUCAGGACAUAUAGCCUGGGAAAUGCUCUCUGUUGUAUUUCACACUGAUGAGAGCUUCUCUUGAUUUGAUUUGUGUGUAGUGGAGCUUCACCAGAAAGAUUACAGGAAGUCUUAGGGCAAAUCUGCAGCUGAGACAUAGGUGUAGAGGGAUUUUCAGCCAGAAUAUCACUGACAAAAAUGUUUUGGCUAAAAUUAUUUUCCCUUACUGUGACUUCUGUCAGGGAAGACAGCAGUGUAGCACUGUCAUGGCACCCAACAGCAAAGAAUGCCACCACAAAGGAAAAUAGUAUUUACACUGAAAGGGAAAAAUUAGUUAAUGACCUGGUUUAAAACAGGAAACAAGGUGUCACGUUCUGUUCUUUGAAAGUAAAAAUGAUAAGAGCUUUGAUGAGUGGACACCAUAAUAAGGGCCUUGGUUUUAUGUCGCAUCCAGGUGCAGCUCCUCACCCUAUACAGCCAUCCAUCCAUUUCAGCACAGAGCAGUCCUUUUUUUUCAUCCUGGACCACAGGAAGGGACGUUGCCAGGCAGGGAACUUGUUCCCUCUGGCACAUGCUGUUAUUACUCCUCCUGGACAGCAUUUUCUUCCUCUCUUUUUCUAUUUCUUUCCUGCUUUUAGGUUCAGCAAUCCCUUUUUUACAUCUAGAUCAAACUGUCUUCCUUGUGAUGCUGUAGGUGGGACUCAGCUCUCACAAGGCCAAAAGAGCUGUGGGUCCCCCACAGGACAGGACCAGAAAGGCAGAGGGGCAAUGUUCCUACCCACUGGUGCUAUUGCUCAGGGAUGUCCCUGGUUUCUGCACUUAUAUCUAAAUCUACACUGGAGGCUCCAAGCCGGAGCCCAGUCACUUCACAUGGGGUUGAAAUCAUUAAGGUGCACAUUUCAGUAUUGUCAGGAUUUGGGAACAAUUACCCAUCUGUUGUUAAAUCUAAUAGCAAUUCUGUUUCACAGUCUGUUGUAAUUUACUCCCUGGUUAUUAUCAUAACUGAAUAAAUGACUCUGGCAUGUCUUUGAACUCCCAGCCCUUUGUUGCCACCUCCCAGAGGAGAGGCAGUUACCUGCCAUAUAAUUGCUCUUAAAGUAUCUAAGAGCAAUGUCACACAAACUUAAAUUGCUGCCAAAGGUUUGCUUGUUUGACUUUGUCCGCAAAGGGGUGUGUGUGUUUGUACAGCAAGUCACGCUUGUCAGCUGGGAGGAAGUAAACACCUGCUGGGAAACAGUUGGAGCAGAUUUUAAGCUUCUUUUCCAGUGCUCUCACCAUGUGGCUGCUCCAUAUCCAUGUUGGUGCAAGGUCAGCAAGGCUGGAUCUGAUCACCGCCGUCUGCUGCUCUUUGCAUGGAGAAUAGGGGUACCAGAGGGACUGCUGCCCUCUCCCUGCUGCAGCACGAUGCUGAGUGGUGGGGCAAAGCAAGGUUUUUGGCCCAGCACUGUUCUUCUCCCUGAUGCUGCAUUUCAUAACUUGAAUGUACUCUUCCUAUCUUCUGCUUCAAGAUGAGAAACCCUGUCCAGGUUGGCAGUACUCCUCCUGACCCUUCAGCCAGGGAGAUCAGCUUAGGAGGGCAGGUAGCAUCAGUGGGUUGGAUCAUCUGGCAGAUGUGCUCACAUGCAGAGGUUAAAUCCAAACCUGAAAAUUGAGCUUGUAUUUAAAAUCCAGGAUCCUAAAGAAAAUGGAAAUAGAGUGAGCCUUUGAUUCAGUUGUAAGGCUGAACCUCUUGAAAGUUAUUUCAAGGAUUUCCUCUUAAAUAGUUACAAUAAAUACCUGCUUUCAAUAUUCACAGUCUGUUUUUGCUGCUGCAUGCAAGGUUUCUAAUCUUCUUUUGUCUUUUCCUGUCAGGAGUCUUCAAGCAUCUUAUUCUGUUCUGACUUGAUUUCUCAGAUGGAAGUAUGCAUCUCAUCCAUGUCUGAGGAGCAAUAUACCACCUCAUCUGUCAACAGCAAGAAACGACAAUAAUUACAAGAAAGUACAGACUAUAUCACAUGCUUUACUAUAACUUAGGGACAAACUUGAAAUUCGCAGAUAAGUUUGAGCAGAUUCUAACCUUUGUUAUGGGAAACAGAGAUCUGAAGUCCACCGAGGCCAAUUAGGUGAUUACUGACUUGGAGCACUUUGAAUCAUCUCCACAAGUAGCACCAUUAGCCCGAGUGACCCAAUCAACUCUCCUGUCUGCAUGUGUUCAAAGAUCUGUCAGCACUGCUCUGAAGAUGUGAGUUUAACUUUGCUCUCAUUUUCUCCUAGGUGAAGGAGAGAAAAUGCUGUAUUUGUUUUUAGAUGUAGUAUACCUGCAUUAUUACAAAAUACCUCUCUCAUUUCACACAGUUGUGAAGUAAAGGAAGUGGAGCACUGCCAAACACACCAAAGUUUUUUUUUUCCAUUUAUUGGUAACAUGAGAGAAGAAAUAAUCCAUUUUAUGUUUUACCAUGCUUGCUUAUCAUCUGAUUUAGUGCUCCUCUGUCAUGGCUAAUUACUCUAAGAUAAUUCUAGUUCUAGGUCUCAAAAUAUAUGAAUAAAACAUGUCUAGGUAUACCAUAUAUGUCAGGAGAGUGCAGAUAUCCACACAAUUGAAGACUUUGGAUUAUAAACUAUGGGAAUGGAUAUGACUAUUACAUGAAAAAUCAAUGAAAUGUUAAUCAGAUAAAGCACGACAGCAGGUGGCCAAGAUAUCAGUAGGGCACAUGUCUUAUAGCGUGUAAAUCUCUCUGCAAACAGGAAGGUCACUUUCAUGGCAUCACUAGAUAUUCUAUGUCACCAAAACAGCCAAAGUCACCAAAAUGUCACCAUGCAAUGCUCUUUAAGCAAGGGUAGGUGCAUUUAAUACUUAACCCAUCCAGUGGCUGCCUUGUCCUGCUUUUCCUUCUGGAAACACACUUUCUAGUCAUGUUGGUGAAGCUUUUUUCUGCCUCAGGUGGGCAACAGUGAAGUCCUGGAGGGCAAAAAAAUCCACCAACCCUCACAACAGAAUUGAAGCUCCUUCUCAACCCAUUAUAAUGUGUUAAAGAAAUCUUACAGCUUUUAUUUCUCUGUUUUGCUUUGGGGAUAUCAGGAGCAUUAAGAGACACACUCUUGUAUCCUCUCCCAGACCUUCUGGGCUUGCUUGCUGCUUAACUAUGCUUCCAAAAGCUGUCCGUGGUUACAGAAACAAAUGUGCAAACUGCACAUGGCAAAGUUGAAUAAAAUGUGAAGUUUCUUACUUCAGAAGUGGAUGCUGCCUUGACUACUUACUGUAAGUGUUUGGAUGAUGGGACAAACCCAGUGCCUUCAUCAGCAUCUUCUGAAGCCCAGGCCCAGGCUCUGCAGGGGGACAGGCCUCUUUGUCACGAUGCACCUCUUGGUGCCCUCUCAGUACCCUGGGUGUUGACCUUCACACAGACUGAAACAUCUCCUCAGUGAUGUUUUGGAUUUCAGGGCCUUUCCUGAGUGGUAUGUUGCUGAAGAGUGGAGUCUGGAGAGAGACAGGCUUUGUUCUUCUCUUGCAAGCUGAGCUCUCCUCCCAUUUCCCGUCACAGAUCCCUUUGCAGGAUAUGUUUUUAUUGCACCCUCGCUCUCUUCGGUUCAUGCAGAGUUGUUCAUUUCCUGACUGUAUGUGACCAUAUGCGUGGCUGUUGUUAGUGGUGUAAAUCCUCAGCCUUCAGCUGAACCAAAAAACCAAAAAUCAGCUUGUGGUGUUUGAUGUGCCGUGCUAAUGGGACAGGGCUGGUUUGAGACUUCUGAUUUGCACAAAACCAAACACUUCAUCUGUGCCUCUAGGAAAUAACAAUAAUUCAUUAACAUCACAACCCUGUGUUUCUUUUUAAACACAGAUGGUAUUUGAUGCAGAGCUCUAGGUUGGUUCUGCAAAAGUAUUUUUUGUUCCUUUUCUUUAAAAGAUAAUGUGUCUCCUUGAUUCUUUUUUCUACUCAAGCAGCUAAGGUUGCUCUGAUAUCAGCUACAGGGGUGAGACAUAAUGUGGAUGGCUGUGAAAUCCCCCUUGACAGCUACAGCCAAAGUGAAAAUAGCUUACAAACAACAAACAGAAAUCUUUCCUCACAUACAGACUGCUUCUGUUUUGUAAUUGUCACUGAUAAACCCAAACACUUCAAGCAGAUAUAGGGCUUUUGAGAGACAGAAAUUCUUCCCUAGAAUCUUUCAAAAUUUGUAAUGUAAAAAGCCAUAUCCCCUGGAGAAUACAACCAAGAGAGCGAUCCGAAAAAGAGUUGCCCUAUCAAAGGUCAAUGAAAUCCAAAAUAACAGUCUGUGGAGGCAGACAGUCUGCAGGGUUUGCCCUCCCCCCUCAUCCCCCGGUCUCCAUUGUUGGCUGGGGAAUGGUGGGGUGUGUUUGUGUGAAAGUGGAGAGAAUGGGGGAAAAACACCAUUGCCAAAGGAGAAGAGCUCUGAGGAAACCUGGCAGGGAUUUUCUUCCCAUUAGUCCUAAUUCCUGUGAUGUAUGGCCAAAGUGGGUACAGAAAACAGAAGGAAACAUGCUGAUAGUAAGGGUAUUUUUCUAGAAGUGCUGGGAAUAGUUAAUGUGUCUUGCUUUUUGUGGUCUCACAUCCUGUUAAGGUUAGUGGAAAUGAAGAAUUGAGAAUGGCAUCCAAGAGGUGGUAAUCUCUGGAGGUGAAUCCUGGUUAUGAGAGGAACAGCCAGGUGGGGGAGGUGUCUCAGUCAUUGCAGGAACCUGGACAAGUAAAUUAGUUUAGAUGCCUAACUUUCAAGCAGCUGCAGUUCACUGAGAUGAAUCUUAGUCUUUCUUUCAGCCAAAGGCUAAUACUCCAGCCUACUGAAUUUUGUGCAGGGAGCCCCAGCUACCUCUGAAUUAAGUGAAACCAUGCACAACAAAGCCAAGAUGUCAGUGUUCUCAUUAAGAUUUGGCUAAAAGUGAUGGGACACCUAGGCACUUAACUGCAUCUAUUUUAGCACAAAGCUUUAGAUGUUUUUAUCCUGCUUGAGCAAUCCCUGCAGAAUCAGCUUUUCUGGAACGUGAAACUCUAUUGGACUGUGUAAACAAACCACAUUCAGCUGAAUGCAAAGCCUCACUACACUUUCAAUUUCUGUAAAUUAUGCAAGGAUAUAAAUGAUGAGUACAUCAGUGAGCUAGACCAGAGGCUGAUUCAUUCAUGUAUUGAUUCAUGCAUGGUUUAUCUUCAUGCCUUGCAGAAAAAGAACAAUUAAAAUGGUUACACUAAGCUAUAAAACUUGAAAAUGGUGUUGGAGGGGGAAGCGUGGUCUUCUGCUUGAAGACUGGCAGAUGAAACCAUAGGUUGCGUAUUAACGAUCUUCUAAUUUGCAUCCCUUUAAAUGUUUCUCAGUUGUGUGUAACCAAACUGGGAAAAAUAAUUAGCUUGAAAUCUAGAGGAAGUUCAGUUCAUAUUUUAUUCCUUUAGUGUCAUGUGUUUGUUCAAUACCCUUUCUUCUUCUUGCCUCAAAAAUAAAAAAAAAAAAAGAAGAAAAAAAGAAAAAGCUAUUUAUGUUUUUAAAUCUUUGUGACAGCAGAAAUAAUAAUGGUAAGAAUUAAUUCUUGUGAUUUGGGAGUGUGGUCAAGCAAUAUUUAGUAUAAAUUUGCAUUAGAGGUUGUAGAUGAGCAAGCGAGAAAACCAGGGAAAGAGGACAUUCAAGUUUCCAAAAAGCAAGAACAAAAAAGAAAGGACAAAGAAAAUAAAUCUAUCCCUUGCAAUGGAUGUAGGAAUGACACAAUUUUCUUCAGUGUGUGGGUGAGUAAACCAUAAUUCUGCACUCUCAUUAUCUGUGGUGAUAAAAUGUUGUCAUUAUAGAAAGAGUAAUUAUUAUUAUUAUUAUUUUAUCUUCAGAAGCCUUCAAGAAACAAAAUAUAUCACAUCAACGGACUGUAUAUAACAGGCAAUUUCUGGAAUCACAAACUGUUUAUCUGUAAGCUUAAACAUAAAUAAAGUCAAUUUACACAAAAGCAAACCAUGUAAUGGAUCUGCUCCUGAUUCUUUCAGCUUCUAUUUUCAUUAGCUAAUGCAGACACUGAGAAAACUGUAUGUUGUUUGUCAUUAAGCAUGCUUUAGUCAUCUGCCACUUUUGCGUUUUUUUGAUUGGCUGCUGCUAAGGGAAAGGAAAGCUCUGUGGUGGUUGUACGUAAGAAAAAUAACUCCAACACUGUGCUGUGGAAAGCUAUGCUUUCAUAUAGCUUCACCUUCACCACCCCCAUGUUAUUAAGUUCUUUUCUUUGGUGGAAUAGUUUUAAGCACAGCAUUAGCAAUACCUACUUUUAUGUACAGAGUUUUGAAUUCAUAGGUUGACUGUCAGCGUAACUCUCUACACCUGGGGUGUUGUGAAGGUAUAGUGGCUGUUCAAAUUGCAUGCAACAGAUUUCACAAAAUUUGACUGCCAAAACUGAUUCAAACACACAAUUUUAUUUUCAAAGGCAACAGACAGGUAAAGCCAGGUUUAAAAUAUUAAUGCUUUCCCCACCCAUCCUUUCUUGUUUGUUUGUUUUAUCUGAUUACAGAUGAGAACACAAGGCUGAACUUGAUUCAGAGUUGCACAGGGAACUCUGACUCCUUGCAGCCCUCAGCAGCAAGGCAGGCUCACAAAUGCCAGCCUUUGUUGACGUUUGAAAUGGAAGCCUCUCAUGCCAGUUGAAGUAUAAAAAAUCUUUCUAAAAAGCCCUAAGGAGCUUUUCAAAAUGCUGCCUAUCCACUUUCCAUGCCUGUACAAAUUUUUGAUAGACAAGGAACACAUAACGUCUUUUCACCAAGCUCAGCAAACAGUGUAUAAACAGUCUAUAUGCCAAGAGUUGGUUCUGUUUUAUCACUCUCAGGAAAAGUAAAAAUGACACAGUGGCAGCAUUUCCUCUCUCUGCAGCAUGGCUCUGCAAAAAUACUCGAAAACCAUCACUUUGCCUUUUAAUGACAUAAUGCAAAGUAUAUACCUGCCAAAAGAACAGAUAAGGUCAAGUAAGAACAUACCCCUUCCACGCUUAGCCUUUUCCCUCAACUUUCAGAGGAAAACCAACUCAAUUCUGUAGUGAACAGUUUUGCAAAUUUCCCAUAUGAGAGAAAAAAAAUAAAAUGCCUAAGAAGCAGAAAAUCGAAGCGUUAAACCUUUGAUCCUGGAUUUGAAGCUAAUCUAUGCAAUUAGCAGUGCUUUUUGUCACAAAAGGAAGAGUCGCAGGAAGAAAGGAUGGCAUAGAGUGCAAAGAAGAAAUCCGGGGAAAAACUGAGAAAAUGAUGCUUCAAUCAUCUUCACAGCCACACAAAUUUUUCCUAAAGAGUAAACAAAGAAGAUGAAAAAAUAUGAGAGAAAGAAGAAGAACAGCAUCAAGCAAACUCCAAACAAUUCUGAACAAUUUCCUCCAGGUUAUCUCACCGUAGGCAAAAUUUAACGCUAUCACAUCAGGGAAGCAAUGUUCAAAGGAGGGGUUCUCAGUGUGCAAGAGCCAUUAUAGGGAUGUGAAUUUGAUUUCCAGCUGUAUACUUUGUUUAUUAACUUCUUCCUAUCUUGACAGGUUGCUUACAUCUCCAGGAGAGUAUUCAGUGGCUAUUUGUUAAUGCAGAUUCCCAUAAGAAUGAAGAACUUCUUAGACCUGGCAGACCCAGUGCAUGGAUUAAGUGCUGUCAGAUAAGGAGGUAGUUUAAUGCAUCUUCUCUGAUGGAGCAGAAACAUCCACAUGAAGUGAAGCACCUUUGUGAUUAUCCAUAGGUACCAGUAAACUUUCCCCAAGAGCCUUGCAAGAAUCACCUUUAAGAAACCAUUGGGCAAUUUGGGAACCUUUGCCAGUCCUACCUUACAGCCAACUUUGUGCAUGGUGGAUAGGUAGAGUCUCUAGGUGUUCUUAAAAGUAUUACUGAAAUUUAUACAAAGUGAAAAGAUGAAUGUCUUAUUUAAAAGUAUGUGCAAAUGGGGUGAACAGCUUUGUACCUAUUUUGUUUAGCAGAAAAUGGCCAUUAUAACUUUCAUGAUUUUCACAGGUUAAAAAAAAAGGCCAUUUCUGUAGAAUCAUAGAAUCACAGAAUGGCCUGGGUUGAAAAGGAC
rnacentral:lncRNA from 1 species